CCUACGGGAGGCAGCAGUGAGGAAUAUUGGUCAAUGGCCGGAAGGCUGAACCAGCCAAGUCGCGUGAGGGACGACUGCCCUAUGGGUUGUAAACCUCUUUUAUCAGGGAAGAAUAAAUGCUACGUGUAGCAUGAUGCCUGUACCUCAUGAAUAAGCAUUGGCUAACUCCGUGCCAGCGGCCGCGGAAAUACGGAGGAUGCGAGGGUUAUCCGGAUUUAUUGGGGUUAAAGGGUGCGUGGGGGGUUUUUUAGUGAGUGGUUAAACGUCGGGGCUUCACCUUGAUUUGCCAUUAAUACUGUAGGACUCGAGUGCAGGCGAGGUAGGCGGAAUAAGUGAAGUAGCGGUGAAAUGCUUAGAUAUAACUUAGAACUCCGAUAGCGAAGGCAGCUUACCGGACUGCGACUGACGCUGAAGCACGAGAGCGUGGGUAGCGAACAGGAUUAGAUACCCCUGUAGUC
rnacentral:rRNA from 1 species